GGGGAUUUAGCUCAGCGGCAUAAGCACCUGCCUUGCAAGCAGGUUGAGAGUUCAAUCCUCA
rnacentral:tRNA from 1 species